CAGCAGCCGCGGUAAUACGUAGGUGGCAGCGUUGUCCACAAUGAUGGGCGUAAGGGCGCGCAGGCGGCUGUGUGAGUCUGUCUAGAAAGUGCGGGGCUAAACCCCGUGAGAGGAUGGAAACUGGACAGCUGAGAGUGUCGGAGAGGAAAGCGGAAUUCCUAGUGUAGCGGUGAAAUGCGUAGAUAUUAGGAGGUACACCGGUGGCGAAAGCGGCUUUCUGGACGACAACUGACGCUGAGGCGCGAAAGCCAGGGGAGCAAACGGGAUUAGAUACCCCGGUAGUCCUGGCCGUAAACGAUGGGUACUAGGUGUAGGAGGUAUCGACCCCUCCUGUGCCGGAGUUAACGCAAUAAGUACCCCGCCUGGGGAGUACGGCCGCAGGCUGAAACUCAAAGGAAUUGACGGGGGCCCGCACAAGCGGUGGAGUAUGUGGUUUAAUUCGACGCAACGCGAAGAACCUUACCAAGCCUUGACAUUGCUCGCAACGGGUAGAGCAUACUUGGUUCUUCUUCGGAAGACGAGACAACAGGUGGUGCACGGCUGUCGUCAGCUC
rnacentral:rRNA from 1 species